rnacentral:rRNA from 1 species
UACGUAGGGUGCAAGCGUUGUCCGGAAUUAUUGGGCGUAAAGAGCUCGUAGGCGGUUUGUCGCGUCUGCUGUGAAAUCCCGAGGCUCAACCUCGGGCCUGCAGUGGGUACGGGCAGACUAGAGUGCGGUAGGGGAGAUUGGAAUUCCUGGUGUAGCGGUGAAAUGCGCAGAUAUCAGGAGGAACACCGGUGGCGAAGGCGGGUCUCUGGGCCGAUACUGACGCUGAGGAGCGAAAGCGUGGGGAGCGAACAGG